UCCCACAGGAUAUGGGACCUCAAGCUAAG
rnacentral:piRNA from 1 species